UGCAAUUAGAACAAUAGAAUUAGAGAAAGAUACGAAUAAUACCAAUCUUUAUUACCGAAGAUCCGAAUCCAGAGCGUUGUGCUCUACUUCUCUAAUUGCUAUCUAAUCAACCUCUAAACUUGAAGGAUUAGGGAGUAGCUAAUUCUAAUUCUCUGUGGGAGAGAGAUCUAAACCCUAACUUUGAUGGCUACCUCUGAAUAAUGAUUUCUCCUCCUCUCCUCCAGGGGGCAGGGGGUCUGGUUUUAUAGUCCCCUCAAGUGAACGUGAGCCAUUGGAUCAAACCGACAUAGAUUGUAUGGUUUAGAUUGAUCCUUUAGGUCGGUGGAGGAUUGUCCUGAAGCAGAGUCCUGUUUGGCCUCCAACCCUGGGCGGGCACCCAAGGGGGGUGGGCGGGCGCCCAGCCCCCGAGCCCGAUUCGCGUCCGUUCGUUCCCGUGGCUUCUGGAUCCUUCUAGAUUGAGGAAAAUUGCGCGGCACGUAAUUAUCUCGUUGUAAACAUGACAUGUGGGCCUUCUCUCCAUAUUUUCUGAUAAACCCCUGCAGAAAUAGAUAAACACCAAAACUCGUGGAAUUCUGUCAGAUAAAACCCUAAUUCUAGAUGUUUGUUUCAUGUUGAUCCUUUUUCAUGUUUAUUUGAUUAUUAAUUUUAGUACUUAAGGACCGUCAACAAACUCCCCCAAGCUUACCCUUUGCUCGUCCCUGAGCAAAUAGCUAAACUCAGAUGGAUCAGGAAUUGCUUCGAUGUUUUCUUUCCUGACAGGCACACAUGCUUUUAUACAAAAUUCUUCCAAAUUAAAGUGAAGUGUUAUGGAGUGUAGUACCUGCACUUAAAUCUUUAAGUAAUCGAAAGACAAAAUAGUUAAGUCAAGCACUAUCCCUCCUGUCUAUACUUCACCUUUGUUCCAGAGUUUUUCAUAAGUUUUUUUUUAAAAUAAAACUCAGAGUUCCCAGCAAUGAUUCUCUCAGGUCUCUCUAUAUGUGGUAUUUGUGGAUCCUUACCAUAAUGUCACUUACCUAUAGCUAAUGGAAUAUUUAAGUGGAGCUUAUAGGAGUGGAAAACAGCUCAUACAUAUGUUGUCUAAUCGAGCCAUGGAUCCAAAGGAACUCAGCAUAUAAUUAAAUCAAGAGGUGCAUGUGUGAUGGAGUAAAUGAUAGUGAAAAUGCAUAAGUGAUAAUAAAACUUAGUUCUCAUUGCUCCUCAUAUUGCUAUUUCCCUCCUCUCUGAUCUUUGCCUUGGGAGAACAUGGGCUAUCUUUUCUUUCUUCUUUUUUUCUCUCUUUUUUUUCAGGUGGGUAGUAGAUACCCCUAAUUCUACUCUCGGACACUUGUCCAUUUUUUCCGCUCAAGUGGGCAUUUUUGUACCUCUAAUUCUACUCCGGACACUUGUCCAUUUUUACCUCUCGUCUCACUCUUUUUCUUUCUUUUUCGAGGUUCCGGGCACUUGCCCCUUUUUAUUUCCUCGCAUAUUUUUGCAUAACUCAUGCCUCUUCUGCAUUGAAUCUUUUUAGAGAGAGAAUAACAAUAUUCGGGACAGUGAGUGAUAAUAUUUUUAGCAAUUUUAAUGAUUGGUAAUGGAUGCUGUGGUAGAUGUGUGCAAGUGAAUAUCUUAAUUUAACCACAUGAAAAGCUCCUAAGGGUCUACACAGCUCGAUCAAACUCAAUGUGAAUAUAGUAAAAGAUGUUAUAGCAAGUAUGGCUGUGGUAGGUAUUUUGUUAUGCUAGGAACUCAUCAUGUGAUUUGUAAGUUUUCAAAAUAAAUCUCUAGAACUUAGUGUAGUAGGAACAAGAUAAACAGUAGCUCAACUUUAUAUCAUGCCUUUCUCUUACCUAGACUUUAAUUUUAUGCUUCCCAAAGAUAGUAAUUUUAGUUUUAGUAAUUCCUGGAAGAACUCUAAUAUAAAAGCUAGGUGCUUGAGAGUAAGCAAACAGAGCAACUAUUCAUCAUUUCUAUCAUGCAUCUUUUUGGUCUUUUUAUUUUUUCUAGAGAUUAAACUUAGCAGGAAAAUAAAGCACACUUAUCUACUCUUUUUAUUUUGUUUUUAUGUUUAUAGAAGUGCAGUAAAUUAAAGCAAGAAAAUAUUUAUUUGGUUUUCUAAGUUUUUUUUUCUUUUAAAGAUAAAAUAAAUACUAAAACAGAAUAGAAUAAAUAAGAAGAGUUACUUGAUAAAUUUGGGAAGAAACUCCCCCAAGCUGGAUGUUGACGUCGGUCUUACCCGAUGUUCCAGAACCGCAUCAUGGUUGUGAUGUUGUCGUUCAUUGUUGUUGUAUCUUGUCUCAGCUCUUGCACUGCAGCGGCAUGGUCCUGGUUCCAUUUUUGUUGCUCUUCCAGGAGUCUUCCAUGUUCUGCUUGCGUGUUCUGGAUGUCGAGGAGUGUGUUGUCGGUACAAGUGAAGAAAGCACCGGCCUCUUGAUAGUAGUCAUUCGUGAAUGCGUAGGAGGCGUCGGAGUAUCGUCCUGCAUCAAAUUGUGGUGGAGGUCUGGAUCCUGAAGCUCCAUAUGGAUCAGUGGAGUACCUGCCCGUAUGAAAAGGCGGGUUUGUCCACUGGUGAUCUUGGCUCUCCGGCCAUGUCUCCUCUGUUGGCUCUUGUGGUUGCGCAUGACGAGCCCAUGGGUCUCGAAGGACUCGUGGAUUGUAAUCGCAAUAAUGCAGGUGCGCUACUUCUUCUGGUCCAGGGUCAGCUCCAUACCAAGUGCGUUCUCGGUGAGUGGUUAUCCUUUCAGAUGCCACUCGCUGUGGAAUUCUCUGGUUCACUGGUGUUGCUGCAAUCUCAAUCAAAAAGUUUUGCACAGAGUAGAGGCCAAGGUUCGGGUUAGGUAACCGAAUCUUGCCUUUAUCAUCAUAUAGCAUAUACAUUAUAUUCCCCUCUUUCUUUAACAUCUGAGCUUGUCUAAAUGUGUCAUAGCCAUGAUAAAUUCUUAAUUCUUCUAUGAAGUCUAACGAUGAAUUUUCUAGUAAGUGAAGAUUAGUGGCUAGACGAGUGAUAAGUGAAGUACAUCCUACUGGUCCCUGAAGACUAGGUAUACUAAGCCAAUGUGAAACUAAUAGUGUAACAGGUGAAGUGGGUACUUUACUAAUAGCAGCAUAUAAAAGUUGUAAAUCUCCUACUCUUACUUUCCUAAUAUCGUCACGAUAGAAAAGAUUGUACCCAAGCCAUUUGUGGAACAUCCUAAGAGUGGGGUGUUCCAUGUCACUGGUUCGGGCUUGACUGUAAAAAUUAUCUCUAGAUAUUUCUCUCCAAAACUGGUGUCUCUCAAAAUUGGGUAAAUCGGAGUCAAUGUUCAGGAUGCAUCUUGAAGAGAAACCAAGAUGGUCGCUCAGCUCUCUCCAAGAUAACAUAAUUUCCUGUUUAAACAUCCAAAAAACAAUUCCCCCCUCAUAGUAUUGUAAAGUGCAAAGAAAUUCGAGGGUGAGAAGACGAGAACCCAGCUCAGUUAUAUUCCAAAAAUUUGUCCAACCCAUCAUUUGAAAAAUUAAGUCAAAUUUAGUGUCCAUACCUGUUUCUCGUAGUAGGAUCGGAUCGAUAGUAGGGGUGUGAAUGAAAUCUUUAUUCUUCAAUUGCUGAUAAACUUCCUUCUCUCUUCGGGUCUUCAGUCCUAGGUCUCCUAUCUUGAGAAGGACCUUAACUUGCUGACCUGAUGAAGAUGAUGGAGCUUGUGUGGGUGUCGGAUUGACGCUCAUCUCUGAUGGCUGUGAGGAGUGUCGGGCGGAACUCCUUGUACCAAUGUUCUUGAGAGCCUUCCCUGCAUUCUUCACCUUCUUAAACAUCCUGCAAACACAAGUUGGCAAAAACACAACUGGUGGAAAAUGUAAGAUAAAAUGUUAGUGGUCAGCUGUCCGGAGUGUCAGUAGUCCAGGGGUUAGUCGUUCAAGACAAGUUUCUAUUUUGGCAGAGCCUCCCUCCUAAACAACUUUUACUUCCACUUGGACAGCGGGAUCACUAUUUGCUAGGUGACAAUCACUCUCUCAAAAGAACUCCAACCUUCCCUUCCACUCUUCUCUUUCUCUCUACUUUCUUCUCUUCACUACAAAAACUCCUUCUCGGGAAACUGAGACUUGUGUGGUUUUCUGGAAUGUGUGUGUGAAGAGAAGGGGAGCUGGAGGUGGCCUUUUAUAGGCUGAGCAGGGGACAGGGCGGGCGCCCAAGGUAGGUGGGCGGGCGCCCACCACUGGUGUCCAUCCUGGGUGUGCUUCCUCCACUUGCUUCCUUGCUUUGAUCUUACGCAAAAUAAUGUUGUGUUGGUAGUGGUUGAACGGUGGAAAGAUGUCAGGUGAGUGGAAAUAUAUUGGUGGAUGAAAUUAUAUGAUGGGAUGUAUGUGAGGUGAAGUGUAUGACAUGUGGGACCCAAAGAGUGUGGGUCAUGCUUCUAGAAGAUCAAUAUAAUGCAGGAAAAUCUAUGAGAAUUGAAACUUAAUGAUAAUGGAAAAUAUUUUUGUGCCUCCACAAUAAUUAAUAAAUAUGGGUUGUUACACACCACAAAUAUUAUUUAUAUGGGGCUUUUUGAUUAUUAUAAUUAUGCUAUGAAUAUAUAUGACUAAUGCAAGAUUUAACUAUGCAAGAAUUUAAAUAUGAGAAAAUUAAUAAUGCGGAUAAUUACCGAUUUACCUCCCGGUGAGGCUUUGGGAUUUUUAGGUCCCCCAAGCUGGACCUCCAAAUCUUUUAAUCUUCUGAGUUACCUUCCUCCGGAGAUGGUGUCUCCAGUGGUUCUUCAUGAACUUCCUUUACUGUAGAGUCUCUCUCUGGUCUGGGUUUGAAUGUGAAGUGUUCUUCUUGACCGUUUAUGUUGAACUUGAUUUCUCCUUUCCCGACAUCAAUGUGGGCAUUGGCAGUGCUCAGAAAUGGCCUUCCAAGGAUGAUGGACACUUUUGAGUCAGGACUCAUGUCCAGUACUACGAAGUCUACUGGCACCAGGAAAUCUCUGAUCUUGACUGGAAUGUUCUCGGCGAUGCCCAACGGGUGUCGAACCGAUUGAUCCGCUAGUUGUAGGCACAUUGAUGUUGGUUCUAAGGUUGCAUGAUCAAGCUUUUUGUAGACUGAUGCUGGCAUCACACUGACACUUGCUCCGAGAUCACAAAGUGCAUUGUUGAAGUGUUGGUUUCCGAUCGAGCAAUCUAUAGUGGGACAUCCAGGAUCUUCCUUCUUCUUUGGUGGUUUAUUGAGGAUGGCCGCACUACAUUCUUUUGUCAGCUUGAUAACCUCAGUGGUGGGUAGUGGUCUCUUCUUGUUAAGAAUAUCUCUGAUGUACUUUGCAUAUGUAGGUACCUGUAUGGCAUCGAGUAGAGGUAUGUUGACAUAUAAUUUCUGAAUGACCUCUACAAACUUACCAAACUGCUCAUCCGACUGCAGUCCUCUGUUUCUUCUAGGAAAUGGCAAAUAGUUGGUGUCGUAAAAAUCUUUCCUCAUUUCUCCAGUUCUUGGUGGUUGUAGCAGAUCUUCUGCUCCAACUGGGCUUUCUUCUUCUAUCACUGCUGGUUGCACUGGUGCUGAUGUUCUUUGUUUCUCUUUUGGGUAUGGUGGAUCUCUGGUAGCUUUACCUCCUCUAGUAGUUAUAUUCUUUACCUGCUCAAUGUUAGUAGCAACAGGCAGUGCAGCAGCUAACUUUAUUAAUUUAAGCUCUACCCUUUUAUUAAGAGUGUUUUGCUCAUCAAAGGCAGUUAGUAGAAAAUCCAUUUUAUUGUAUAUAUCUUUUAGAGAUGAUUCAUUUGUAUCUAGCCUUUGUUUAACUUCAUCAUUAAUUUUGGUUUGUUGAGCAAUUAUCUCUUUUAAUGAAAGUUGCUUGACAGUAUUACCUGAAUUCAUACCUUUGCUAUUGGGUUGACUAGAAGUUGGUUGAUAUUUGUAUGCUGUCUCAAUGGCCCUUUGAUCUUCUUUAAACUUGGCCCUCUGGUCAAUCCAAUGGAGCAAAUUGUCCAUCUUAGUUGAUAAUGCUUUUACUUCUUCUGGUAUUUCUUCAGUUUGAUGACAUUGUUGAGCUUUGAUUUUCUGCUAUCUUAUCCAAAAGUAUCUCUGCUUUUCCAAUUGUAAGCUCCAAGAAUGAUCCUUUAGCAGAUGCAUCUAGGCACUCACGAGCCUUCUGGGUUAAUCCAUGGUAGAAGGUCUGCAUAAGUAACCAUGUGGCCAUUCCAUGGUGAGGACAAUCUGAUAUGUAUCCUUGAAAACGCUCUCAUGCUUCUGAAAUGGCUUCUGUCUUCUGCUGUUGGAAACUGACAAUAUUUCCUCUUAAGGCAGUUGUUUUGCCUAUAGGGAAAAACUUUGAUAGAAAGGCAUCUGACAAGUUCGCCCAUUUGUUGAUGUUAUCUUGAUGAGUGUAGAACCACUUCCUCGCUUUUCCUUCUAGUGAGAAUGGAAAAAGGCGAAGCAGUAUGACGUCUUUGUCAACUCCGUUGAUGUGGAUUGUGCUUCCAAUCUCUAAGAAAUUCUGCAAGUGUGCACUAGCAUCUUCAUGUGCCUUUCCACUGAAUUGUGUAGCUUGCACCAAAUUGAUGAGGCUUGACUUGAGCUCAAACUCGGGUAUUCCUUCUUCUACUGCAAAUCUUGGACCAGUUGGAAUGUUGUCAAGACUUGGAGCAGAGAAUUCUUGUAAGGUCUUUUCUGCCAUAGCUUUAGCAAUUGGUAGCUAGCUUCUUCUUCUCUUGAUUGCUUUGGUUCUGAUGAUGGAGAGUUGAAUGUACCCAAAGUCAAUCCUGUUAUACCCUGUAUAAAAAUAUAAUCAUAGAAAAACAACAGGGUGAACCUGCCAAAGCAGCGGUGCCUUGUUAUGAUUUCUCACUUAGUAGCUGUUGUAUGCAAUUAUUUCUCUAUAGUCUAGUCUAAUAUUUUAUAUGAAUAACCUUGAUUGAUUUUCUGGCUUCCCUUAAUAUUACUCCUUUAUUCCCCUUUUACGACUUAUUCCUGAGACUCAUAUAAUUCCUAUAAGUGUUCUAACAUGUCCCCGGCAACGGCGCCAGAAAUGCUUGUUGACACUAGCUAACACCACUUAAAUACUAGGUUGUCAUCCCUAGCAUGGCGCCAGAGUGUACAAAGGUAUUUAUGAAUGUAAAGGCUCUCUAGAAAAUAAUCUAUUCUAUCCGCAAGCGCACAGAUAAAACACCUCAUUGUAGCAUUUCACCAGGAUAAGUAUUCCAGGUAUCGUUAUUUAUAAUUUUGCUUAGGGGAUCUCAAGAAAGAUGGAAUUAAAAUAAAAGGGGGCAAAAUCUAUCAAGGCAUAGACUAGAGAUAAACUUGCAAGAACAUGAUUACUAAUGAGAAACUCGUCACACAGUCACAUACUUUAGCAGGGGGUAAACCAUAAAGAUAAUGAUAAUAAAGUAUAAGUUCAUGGGUAGAUAGCACAGCGAUUAGAAAAUAGACUACUCCUCAUAUAUGUAGGUGAUGUCGGAUUAGCUAGAGAAUGGAUUCUAAGUUAUCUACUAACUACUAAGUCAUAAUCUACUCUAGUUAUCUACAAGAUCAUAUAUAGCAUAAAAGACUCUUCAUUCAUGUAUAAGGAACAUUGAUAAAGUAAAUCAGAACAUCGCAUGACUUACUCCACAAUACCGGUUCUGCCUGUCCUAUCAACGGAGGGUGGACUAUAUAAGAAUCAACGAAGCUGUCACUAUCACGAACUACCACACGACUCGGCCAAUAGGAUACAUUUGCAGAUAAAUAACAUCUAAGCACCACGCUCACAUGUGAUCUAUCACCUAACUCCCUCGCGUCAAGAGCUAAGCGCUUUGCAAACUUAUACAUAAACUCAUUAUCAAUUAGAACUAUAUCAAAUAUAGAACUAGAGCAAACUAAGAACAUAAUAAUUAAAGACAUAAUGCAAUUAGAACAAUAGAAUUAGAGAAAGAUAUGAAUAAUACCAAUCUUUAUUACCGAAGAUCCGAAUCCAGAGCGUUGUGCUCUACUUCUCUAAUUGCUAUCUAAUCAACCUCUAAACUUGAAGGAUUAGGGAGUAGCUAAUUCUAAUUCUCUGGGGGAGAGAGAUCUAAACCCUAACUUUGAUGGCUACCUCUGAAUAAUGAUUUCUCCUCCUCUCCUCCAGGGGCCAGGGGGUCUGGUUUUAUAGUCCCCUCAAGUGAACGUGAGCCAUUGGAUCAAACCGACAUAGAUUGUAUGGUUUAGAUUGAUCCUUUAGGUCGGUGGAGGAUUGUCCCGAAGCAGAGUCCUGUUUGGCCUCCAACCCUGGGCGGGCGCCCAGCCCCCGAGCCCGAUUCGCGUCCCGUUCGUUCCCGUGGCUUCUGGAUCCUUCUAGAUUGAGGAAAAUUGCGCGGCACGUAAUUAUCUCGUUGUAAACAUGACAUGUGGGCCUUCUCUCCAUAUUUUCUGAUAAACCCCUGCAGAAAUAGAUAAACACCAAAACUCGUGGAAUUCUGUCAGAUAAAACCCUAAUUCUAGAUGUUUGUUUCAUGUUGAUCCUUUUUCAUGUUUAUUUGAUUAUUAAUUUUAGUACUUAAGGACCGUCAACAAUCCUUUUCUUUAUUUAUUUGAUAAUUAAAUUUGAUACUUAAGGACCGUCAACAAACUCCCCCAAGCUUACCUCUUGCUCGUCCCUGAGCAAGGAUAGACUCAGCUAUGGAUCAUAAGUUGUUGCAAUAUCUUUAAAAAUUGACGGUACACAUGCUUUUUAAAUAAGAUCUCAUCUCUGAGUUAGAGUAAACUGUCAAGACUUAAAACUUACUUACUUUACCUUCACCAUGGGACUUGUAACCGUCACUUCUGUCUUGAGUGGUUAAAAGAUAGAACAGUCUAGUCAAGUGCCAUGUCUCUUAUUCUUGAUCAGCUAUAGCUCUGGUGUUUUUGCAGAUUUUCAAAUAAAACUCAGAGAUUCCUUGUAUGAUUCUCUCAGAUCUCUCUUUUGUAGUAUUUCUAGAUCCUGUGAUGGUAUACGCCUUCUCUCAAAAUAUGUGGUAUUUGUGGUAUAAGGCAUAGUGACAUUGCCUUCUCUCUCACCCUACUCUAAUAAGGCUUUAAUAUCUGGAGCUCAUAGGUGAGAGAUAAAGUAUACAUACUGACAAGACAUUUAUUGCAUAGUCAAACCAUGGAUCCAAAGAAACGAAUCAAUAAGCCAAAUCAAGAUGUGCAUGUGUGGCGUGUAUAGUGAUGAUGGUGAUAACAAUGGUGGAAGUCUAAUUCUACUUUUGCUCUUUGAGGGGAUACAUACCUUCCUUGCUUUUUGAAAUUUUAUGAGGAGAAUGAGAUGCUCUUCUUUUUCUUUUCUCUCAGGUGGGUAUCUUGUACCCCUAAUUCUACUGUCGGACACUUGUCCAUUUUUACCUCUCGUCUCACUUUUUCUUUUCUUUCGAGGUUCCGGGCACUUGCCCCUUUUUAUUUCCUGAUAUCUCUUUUUUUUAGAGCAAUCAUCUCAUGAGAUAAGAUAGCAAGUGGUAGUAACAAGAUAACUUGAGCAUUUAUUUCACAAGGGAAAACAGAAAUAUUUUUUUCUAUUCUCUCCCGGAUUAGGAGUAGAAUAUUUUUGGGUGAUUCUGGAGAUGGAAAUGGAUGGAUAUAUGUGGAUGGUACUUCCGGAGUAGAAGUAGCAUAUAUGAGUGAACGUGCAAGUGAAAUCUUGAUUUAACCACAGGACAAGCUCCUAAGGUCUACACAGCUUGACCACACUCAAUGCUCAUAAGCAGUAAAUAGUAAAUGUGUGGUUCAAAGUCUAGCAAGCAUGUAUAUAUGGCUGUGGUAGGAAUUUAAAACUCUCAUCAUACAGGAACUCAUCAUGCAACAUUUUAAAGAUUUUCAAAGAUAAAAUUCUCCAGAAUUCUAGCAUCUCUAGAAACAGAUAAACAGCAGCUCAACCUUCCCAUAUCAUAUCCGUUAACAACUUAGACUUCAGAUCAAGUUUUCAUCCCACAAGUUUAGGUCUAGAGCAAGCUUUAAAUUAUAACACUUAUAUCUAAACUUGAAAGAGAACUUAAAAUGUGCAAAUUAGGCAGAGCAACUAUUCAUCAUAUCCAUGCUAGUGUUUUAUUUAGAUACAGAUUAGCAUAGCCACUUUAUUUAUUUAUUAAACACACUAAGCAAAAGAGAUAUAUAUAUAUAUAUAAGCACAAAAUCUUUAUUUGGUUUUUCAUAGUUAUGUAUAUUUAUAUUCUAAUAUAAUAUAAGUAUAAAGAUAGAUAGAAAUACUUAUCGAGAUAAAUGGGGGUGCUCUCCCCCAAGCUGAAUUUUGAUGUAAUUUCUCUUGAUGUAGCUAGCAGGUGGCAGAGGUGUAUUUGAAAGUCAGCAGCAUUCUGACAGCGAUUAGAAUGUCCUCCGUCUGCUAGUCUUCUUGAUUCUUAAAUUCUGUGGAGCUCAAAUAGACAACAAAGCUUGUGGAACUGAUUAAGUGUUAGCAUAAAUAUCUAGCCUUUAUCAUGUUGAGACUCCUUAAUAAUUAUUACUCCCUGUUUUUUUUUAUAUUUUUGUUUUAUAAAGUAGAAAUGAAAUAUUUAUUUUAUUUUUAUGCCACCACAGUGAAUGUACUUAUGGGUUUUAUGCCACUCGUAUACUCACAUAGGGCUUACUAUUUUUUGCAUUUUUAUUUUCUUUUUAGGAUAGCAUGAACAUGAUUAACUAAAUAAACUAUUUGAAAUAAUUGAAAGGGAAAGGAUAACUACCAAGUUUACCUCUUGGCAAGGCUUUCAGUGUUUUUAAGUCCUCCGAACGGGACUCUCCUCUUUCCUUAAUUGUCCUGAGGUUCGUUGGGUGGCGGAGUCGGUACUUCCGGCGGCGCCUCCUCUUCAUGUAUAGUUAUCUUCUCUUUCCAUACCUGACUCGGUGCUUCAGUCUCCUCUGGAUAAUUCUGUUUAAACUCUACGUCUUCUGACCUUAUCACUUCUCCUUCGUAGUCUGCCCAUCCGUCCUUGAUGAUCUGCCUCCUCUGGUUGCAGUUGCGUCUCUUUCUGACCUGCUUAGAUUCUUCAACGAUAUAGUUAGGGUCAGUAAAAUAACGGCGUACCUUCUCUGAGGGAAAGUGCAUAUGGACUUCUCCAGUUCCAAUGUAGAUAAUUGCUUUAACAGUGCUGAGGAACGGUCUUCCAAGGAUGAUGGGUGGAUCUAUUCGUCUUCUCCCAUGUCAAUAACCUGAAAGUCUGUGUAGACAAAAUGAUCGUCUAUUUUGACUGGGACAUCAGAUACUGUUCCUUUAACUUCUCGAAAUGUCUGAUCUGCCAUCUGGAGCUGAAUGUAUGUUGGUUUUAGGGGCAUGGUCCCGAACAAGAGCCGAUAGGUGACUGUGGCCAUUAUGUUGACGCCAGAUCCGGUGUCACAAGUCGUCUUGUAGAAGUUGUAUCCAUUUAUGGAGUAGGAGAUGCUUGGCAUUCCUGGGUCGUCCUUCUUAUUCAAAAACGGUGACUUAAGUUGUUGAUCUUGGCCUCUAUGAACUGCAGUGACCAUCUUAGCUGACUCGGUCCACACUUGCUUGUUCCUGUUCCUCCUAUUGGUCCUCUUCCUUGAUUCACGUCUGGAUUGAUCUGGGAUUUGUGUAGUCUUGUUCUUGAAGAAAAAUGUCUCCUUCCUCCCUUUGAUGUAAAAACUGAUCUUGGCAGCACUGGCGUAGAUGAUAGCUCCCGUGGUGUUCAAGAAUGGCCUCCCUAAGAUGAUGGGUGCUCUCUCAUCAUUACCGGUCUCUACCACUACGAAGUCUGCUAGGGCAUACAAGGUACCAACUCAGACACAAAGGUUCUUCACUAUUCCUUUUGGAAAAGUUAUCGUCUGAUCUGCAAACUGCAAACACAUGGUUGUCUCUAAUAAAGGAUAUGUAAAGAAUUUCUCAUAGAGUACCCUGGGUAUAAUGUUGACACUAGAGCCAAAGUCACAG
rnacentral:lncRNA from 1 species